ACAGCCGACGCGGAUCAAAGUGUAGUGUCUGUUCUUAUCAGCUUAAUAUCUGAUACGGGUUCCAUUUGGACCCAAUAUGAUAUUAAGCUUAUUUUCGCAAGUUGGCUGAGUGCUUCAAGCCUGCUUCACCUCUGCCGCGGGUCGGCCCGGUAUCGCACUAUCUCCGGUAUCGGCACACAGUUU